rnacentral:rRNA from 1 species
UACGUAGGGGGGCUAGCGUUGUCCGGAAUUACUGGGCGUAAAGCGUGCGCAGGCGGUUCGUCGUGUCCGAUGUGAAAGCCCCGGGCUCAACCUGGGAAUGGCAUUGGAAACUGGCGGACUCGAGUGUGGCAGAGGGGGGUGGAAUUCCGCGUGUAGCAGUGAAAUGCGUAGAGAUGCGGAGGAACACCGAUGGCGAAGGCAGCCCCCUGGGUUAACACUGACGCUCAGGCACGAAAGCGUGGGGGAGCAAACAGG